rnacentral:rRNA from 1 species
AUUGAACGCUGGCGGCAUGCUUUACACAUGCAAGUCGAACGGUAACAGGCCGCAAGGUGCUGACGAAUGGCGAACGGGUGAGUAAUACAUCGGAACGUACCCGAUCGUGGGGGAUAACGUAGCGAAAGUUACGCUAAUACCGCAUAUUCUGUGAGCAGGAAAGCAGGGGAUCGCAAGACCUUGCGCUGAUUGAGCGGCCGAUAUCAGAUUAGCUAGUUGGUGAGGUAAAGGCUCACCAAGGCGACGAUCUGUAGCGGGUCUGAGAGGAUGAUCCGCCACACUGGAACUGAGACACGGUCCAGACUCCUACGGGAGGCAGCAGUGGGGAAUUUUGGACAAUGGGGGCAACCCUGAUCCAGCCAUGCCGCGUGAGUGAAGAAGGCCUUCGGGUUGUAAAGCUCUUUCGGCCGGGAAGAAAUCGUAUCAGCUAAUACCUGGUGCGGAUGACGGUACCGGCAUAAGAAGCACCGGCUAACUACAUGCCAGCCGCCGCAGUAAAAC